rnacentral:rRNA from 1 species
AUUGAACGCUGGCGGCAUGCCUUACACAUGCGAGUCGAACGGCAGCACGGGAGCUUGCUCCUGGUGGCGAGUGGCGAACGGGUGAGUAAUACAUCGGAACGUACCCUGAAGUGGGGGAUAACGUAGCGAAAGUUACGCUAAUACCGCAUAUUCUGUGAGCAGGAAAGAGGGGGAUCGCAAGACCUCUUGCUUUAGGAGCGGCCGAUGUCGGAUUAGCUAGUUGGUGAGGUAAAGGCUCACCAAGGCGACGAUCCGUAGCGGGUCUGAGAGGAUGAUCCGCCACACUGGGACUGAGACACGGCCCAGACUCCUACGGGAGGCAGCAGUGGGGAAUUUUGGACAAUGGGCGCAAGCCUGAUCCAGCCAUGCCGCGUGAGUGAAGAAGGCCUCGGGUUGU